rnacentral:rRNA from 1 species
GACGAACGCUGGCGGCGUGCUUAACACAUGCAAGUCGAACGGAAAGGCCCUGCUUUUGUGGGGUGCUCGAGUGGCGAACGGGUGAGUAACACGUGAGUAACCUGCCCUUGACUUUGGGAUAACUUCAGGAAACUGGGGCUAAUACCGGAUAGGAGCUCCUGCUGCAUGGUGGGGGUUGGAAAGUUUCGGCGGUUGGGGAUGGACUCGCGGCUUAUCAGCUUGUUGGUGGGGUAGUGGCUUACCAAGGCUUUGACGGGUAGCCGGCCUGAGAGGGUGACCGGCCACAUUGGGACUGAGAUACGGCCCAGACUCCUACGGGAGGCAGCAGUGGGGAAUAUUGCACAGUGGGCGGAAGCCUGAUGCAGCAACGCCGCGUGCGGGAUGACGGCCUUCGGGUUGUAAACCGCUUUCGCCUGUGACGAAGCGUGAGCGACGGUAAUGGGUAAAGAAGCACCGGCUAACUACGUG